AGCGGCAAAAGCUCAAAUUUGAAAUCUAGCACUUUCAGUGUUCGAGUUGUAAUUUGAAGAAGGUAACUUUGGUUUUGGCUCUUGUCUAUGUUCCUUGGAACAGGACGUCACAGAGGGUGAGAAUCCCGUGCGAUGAGAUGCCCAAUUCCAUGUAAAGUGCUUUCGAAGAGUCGAGUUGUUUGGGAAUGCAGCUCUAAGUGGGUGGUAAAUUCCAUCUAAAGCUAAAUAUUGGCGAGAGACCGAUAGCGAACAAGUACAGUGAUGGAAAGAUGAAAAGAACUUUGAAAAGAGAGUGAAAAAGUACGUGAAAUUGUUGAAAGGGAAGGGCUUGAGAUCAGACUUGGUAUUUUGCGUUCCCUUCCUUUUUGGUUGGGUUCCUCGCAGUUUACUGGGCCAGCAUCGGUUUGGAUGGUAGGAUAAUGACAUUGGAAUGUAGCUUUACUUCGGUGAAGUGUUAUAGACUUUGUUGAUACUGCCUAUCUAGACCGAGGACUGCGUCUUUGACUAGGAUGCUGGCGUAAUGAUCUUAAGCCGCCCGUCUUGAAACACGGACCAA
rnacentral:rRNA from 1 species